rnacentral:rRNA from 1 species
AUUGAACGCUGGCGGCGUGCCUAACACAUGCAAGUCGAGCGGUAACAGGUGUAGCAAUACAUGCUGACGAGCGGCGAACGGGUGAGUAAUGCUUCGGAAUCUACCUUAUGGUGGGGAAUAACUAGCCGAAAGGUUAGCUAAUACCGCAUACGUCCUACGGGAGAAAGCAGGGGAUCGCAAGACCUUGCGCCAAAAGAUGACCCGAGUUCGGAUUAGCUAGUUGGUAGGGGAACGGCCUACCAAGGCGACGAUCCGUAGCUGGUCUGAGAGGACGACCAGCCACACUGGGACUGAGACACGGCCCAGACUCCUACGGGAGGCAGCAGUGGGGAAUAUUGGACAAUGGGGGAAACCCUGAUCCAGCGACGCCGCGUGUGUGAAGAAGGCCUGCGGGUUGUAAAGCACUUUUAGUGGGGAUGAAAUGUGCAGGGUUAAUACCUCUGCAUUUUGACCUAACCCACAGAAAAAGCACCGGCUAACUCUGUGCCAGCCGCCGCGGUAA